ensembl:lncRNA
GGGUCAGCUGUCUGUCUGUGCUGAUAAACCCGACCAGGGCGAAGGUACACAGACAGACAGGGUCAGCUGUCUGUCUGUGCUGAUAAACCCGACCAGGGCGAAGGUACACAGACAGACAGGGUCAGCUGUCUGUCUGUGCUGUUAAACCCGACCAGGGCGAAGGUACACAGACAGACAGGGUCAGCUGUCUGUCUGUGCUGUUAUACCCGACCAGCUACAGGUACACAGACACAGACUCAGCUGUCUGUCUGUGCUGUUAUACCCGACCAGCUACAGGUACACAGACAGACAGGGUCAGCUGUCUGUCUGUGCUGUUAUACCCGACCAGCUACAGUGACACAGACACAGACUCGGCUGU